CAUCGUCAAAAUAUUUGGUAUUAAUGCUAGUUAUGAUAUGGUAAAUAAUCCUUGUGGUUGGAAUCCUGUACAUUYUAGUAUUAUUUUUGCCUAAUAUGUCGGCGUGCACUUCUCYUUUAGUAGAACGUCGGGACCCGUUAAAUGUUGAUUUAUGGNUCGAUGGAUUGUCUCCUUCUGCUUGCAGUUGGAGAUCAUUGGUAUUCUGAUCAACUAUUUGACGGUAUUCAAAUGGUAUUAAGUCGCUAUUAUUAGCGUUAAAUUCAUCACAAGUGCGGUUAAUUUUUGACAGUACGGAUAUAAUGCCGUCGUUGAAAUUAACCAACUGUUAGUUGAUGAUAUCUUUAACUGACUUUAAUACCGGUCAGCGACGCUACUGCUUUGGGUACUUUCAGGACCCGUCUUGAAACACGGACCAAGGAGUCUAACAUGUACGCAAGUCAUUGGGAUUUAUAAAACAAACCUAAAGGCAUAAUGAAAGUAAAGAUURUCUUAAGACAAUUAAGGGAAGAUAGGUUAUAUUACGAUAUAAUCUCGCAUUCCCGGGGCAUCUUAUUCUCAUUG
rnacentral:rRNA from 1 species